rnacentral:rRNA from 1 species
CGUAGGUGGCAAGCGUUGUCCGGAUUUAUUGGGUUUAAAGGGUGCGUAGGCGGUCUUUUAAGUCAGUGGUGAAAUACUUCAGCUCAACUGGAGAGGUGCCAUUGAUACUGGGAGACUUGAGUACUGAUGAGGUAGGCGGAAUGGACGGUGUAGCGGUGAAAUGCUUAGAUAUCGUCCAGAACACCGAUAGCGAAGGCAGCUUACUAAGGAGUAACUGACGCUGAGGCACGAAAGUGUGGGGGAUCAAACAGGAUUAGAUACCCUGGUAGUCCACACUGUAAACGAUGAUUACUCGAUGUUGGCGAUACACAGCCAGCGUCUUAGCGAAAGCGAUAAGUAAUCCACCUGGGGAGUACGCCGGCAACGGUG